UCCUCAUUGUGCUCGUGGUGGGGGUUGCUCUCAGUCUGGCCACAGGUGGAAAUAUGGGUGGUGUUAACCCUCUCUACGUGAGAAAGUACAAAGGGAGUAGAGAUCCGGAAGAGGAAUUUGUGGUGACUGAAGGAACCCAGAUGCGCGAGCGUGACUCUACAGACAGGCAACUGUCAGAGGCUCCCGUCAAACACUGAGCUCCCCUUUAUACAACUAUCAACACAAUACAGGAAUGUAGAAACAUAUCUGCGUCACAAUACCAAAUUCACUCCACCAUCUUAGAACACACACUGCUUGUACAUUAAUAACACAGAGAAUGUUAUAUACAGCUGAUCAUCACUUGUUUCACUGUUAAAGAGAUUUUUUUCUAA